rnacentral:rRNA from 1 species
AUUGAACGCUGGCGGCAUGCCUUACACAUGCAAGUCGAACGGUAACAGGUCUUCGGAUGCUGACGAGUGGCGAACGGGUGAGUAAUACAUCGGAACGUGCCCAGACGUGGGGGAUAACGAGGCGAAAGCUUUGCUAAUACCGCAUACGAUCUAAGGCUGAAAGCAGGGGACCGCAAGGCCUUGCGCGUUUGGAGCGGCCGAUGGCAGAUUAGGUAGUUGGUGGGAUAAAAGCUUACCAAGCCGACGAUCUGUAGCUGGUCUGAGAGGACGACCAGCCACACUGGGACUGAGACACGGCCCAGACUCCUACGGGAGGCAGCAGUGGGGAAUUUUGGACAAUGGGCGAAAGCCUGAUCCAGCAAUGCCGCGUGCAGGAUGAAGGCCUUCGGGUUGUAAACUGCUUUUGUACGGAACGAAAAGGCUCUGGCUAAUACCUGGGGCACAUGACGGUACCGUAAGAAUAAGCACCGGCUAACUACGUG